rnacentral:rRNA from 1 species
AGAGUGAACGCUGGCGGCAGGCCUAACACAUGCAAGUCGAACGGCAGCACAGGGGAGCUUGCUCCCUGGGUGGCGAGUGGCGGACGGGUGAGGACAACGUCGGAAUCUGCCUUUUUGUGGGGGAUAACGUAGGGAAACUUACGCUAAUACCGCAUACGACCCCAGGCCGGGAGGUUUGGGGUGAAAGCGGAGGACCUUCGGGCUUCGCGCAGAAAGAUGAGCCGACGUCGGAUUAGCUAGUUGGUGGGUAAAGGCCCACCAAGGCGACGAUCCGUAGCUGGUCUGAGAGGAUGAUCAGCCACACUGGAACUGAGACACGGUCCAGACUCCUACGGGAGGCAGCAGUGGGGAAUAUUGGACAAUGGGCGCAAGCCUGAUCCAGCCAUGCCGCGUGUGUGAAGAAGGCCUUCGGGUUGUAAAGCACGUUUUGUUGGGAAGAAAAGUCACCCGGUUAAUACCCGGUGUUAAGUGACGUAACCCAAAGAAUAAGACACCGGCUAACUUCGCGCC